rnacentral:rRNA from 1 species
CCCUUAGAUGUCCUGGGCCGCACGCGCGCUACACUGACAUGUUCAACAAGCCUCCUAGUUCGACAGGAUUUGGGAAAUCUUUGAACGCAUGUCGUGAUAGGGAUAGAUCAUUGCAAUUAUUGAUCUUGAACGUGGAAUUCCUAGUAAACGCGAGUCAUCAGCUCGCAUUGAUUACGUCCCUGCCCUUUGUACACACCGCCCGUCGCACCUACCGAUUGAAUGUUUCGGUGAAGAUUCCGGAUAGGACUUUUUUGAUUUAUUUCAAUUUUGUCUUAAAAGCUAUCUAAACCUCAACAUUUAGAGGAAGGUGAAGUCGUAACA